GUUCGGUCCCUAUCCGCUGCGCGCGUUGGAAAUUUGAGAAAGGCUGUCCUUAGUACGAGAGGACCGGGACGGACGAACCUCUGGUAUGUCAGUUGUACCGCCAGGUGCAUGGCUGAUUGGCUACGUUCGGGAGGGAUAACCGCUGAAAGCAUCUAAGCGGGAAGCCUGUUUCGAGAUGAGAUUUCCUGGCACUUUUUGGUGUGUGAGGCUCCUUAUAGAUGAUGAGGUUGAUAGGCCGGGUAUGGAAGCGGGGACUGAAGACUCGUGGAGUUGACUGGUACUAAUAGGCCGAAGGCUUACUUUU
rnacentral:rRNA from 1 species